GUGCUUGCUUAAGCAGCACAUGGUCUAAAAUUGGAAAGAAACAGAGACUAUCAGAAUGCCCUUCCGCCUACCCCGACUAAUUCCUGUACAAGGAUGACAUGAAAACUCAUGGGGCACUCCACAUUUUU
rnacentral:snRNA from 1 species